CCUACGGGUGGCUGCAGUGAGGAAUAUUGGUCAAUGGACGAGAGUCUGAACCAGCCAAGUAGCGUGAAGGAUGACUGCCCUAUGGGUUGUAAACUUCUUUUAUAUGGGAAUAAAAUGUUCCACGUGUGGGAUUUUGUAUGUACCAUAUGAAUAAGGAUCGGCUAACUCCGUGCCAGCAGCCGCGGUAAUACGGAGGAUCCGAGCGUUAUCCGGAUUUAUUGGGUUUAAAGGGAGCGUAGUUGGAUUUUUAAGUCAGUUGUGAAAGUUUGCGGCUCAACCGUAAAAUUGCAGUUGAAACUGGCAGUCUUGAGUACAGUAGAGGUGGGCGGAAUUCGUGGUGUAGCGGUGAAAUGCUUAUAUAUCACGAAGAACUCCGAUUGCGAAGGCAGUUCACUGGACUGCAACUGACACUGAGGCUCGAAAGUGUGGGUAUCAAACAGGAUUAGAUACCCUAGUAGUC
rnacentral:rRNA from 1 species